UACAGCCACAUCAUGUUGAAACACCAGUUCCUGUAAGAUCACCAAGGUUAAGCAACACCAAGCCUGAUCAGUGCCUAGAUGGGUGACUGUUUGGGAAUACCAGGUGCUGUAAG